rnacentral:lncRNA from 1 species
GUGCCUAUUGCUAUAUAUCGAGAGGGAUGGAAUCAAAUGACAAGUAUAUUAAGUAAGGUAAGGAUAUAUGUGACAAGUAUAUUAAGUAAGGGUAAGGCAAGGGAGACAAUAAGGCUUGGCUUUACUUGAUGGUAAGGGUAGAGAUGGGUUUGGUGCUUUACCAGAGGCAGUGGAGAAUUGCCAGUUCCAGUUCUUUAUGUUCCAGUUUACAGUGCUAUCGGUUUAGGGUUUGUUCCAGUUAACGGUGUUAUCGGUUCAGAAGGAAAGUGUAGUUCGACAACAGAAUCAACAGUAUCAGGUCCAGGACCUGGAGUUUAGUAUCAUAUUCGUACAUAAGAGGGUCUGAUUUGAUUCUAUUACAUAAGAGGGUCUGACUUGAUUCUAUUACAUAAGAGGGUUGGGUAUUAC